GACGAACGCUGGCGGCGUGCUUAACACAUGCAAGUCGAACGGAAAGGCCCCUUUGGGGGUCCUCGAGUGGCGAACGGGUGAGUAACACGUGAGUAACCUGCCCUUGACUUCGGGAUAACUUCAGGAAACUGGGGCUAAUACCGGAUAGGAAUCCUUGCUGCAUGGUGGGGGUUGGAAAGCUUCGGCGGUUUUGGAUGGACUCGCGGCUUAUCAGCUUGUUGGUGGGGUAGUGGCUUACCAAGGCUUUGACGGGUAGCCGGCCUGAGAGGGCGACCGGCCACAGUGGGACUGAGAUACGGCCCAGACUCCUACGGGAGGCAGCAGUGGGGAAUAUUGCACAAUGGGCGGAAGCCUGAUGCAGCAACGCCGCGGGCGGGAGGACGGCCUUCGGGUUGUAAACCGCUUUCAGCAGGGGCGAAGCUUGUGGUGACGGUACCUGCAGAAGAAGCACCGGCUAACUACGUG
rnacentral:rRNA from 1 species